rnacentral:rRNA from 1 species
UACGUAGGGUGCGAGCGUUGUCCGGAAUUAUUGGGCGUAAAGAGCUCGUAGGCGGUGUGUCGCGUCGGCCGUGAAAACCUGGGGCUUAACUCUGGGCGUGCGGUCGAUACGGGCAUUACUAGAGUUCGGCAGGGGAGACUGGAAUUCCUGGUGUAGCGGUGAAAUGCGCAGAUAUCAGGAGGAACACCGGUGGCGAAGGCGGGUCUCUGGGCCGAUACUGACGCUGAGGAGCGAAAGCAUGGGUAGCGAACAGG